GAAGAGAAUAGUGGACAUGAGAUACAGUAUACACCAUAUAUCUUUAGGAGCUAAGAAAGAUCAUUGAAGAAUACUUGAUGUGCAACUCUGCAUGUGUUCUCGUAAGUCAUAACAUAUAUAGGUAGGCUUGGAAGGCAGUAGGAAAAGACCUUGUGGUGGCUAUACGUUUGAUGGAAGCUUAAAGUGGUUGCAACGAGCUCAUCAAGCUCAAAGGAUCAGAAACACAUCAAGCUCAAAGGAUCAGAAACACAUGAAAGUGCACAGCCACGAAGGCAAUUGGGACUAAUACAGAUCAUUUUUGAGUUUUUGACACAUGU
rnacentral:lncRNA from 1 species